rnacentral:lncRNA from 1 species
CUGGGCUGAGCCUCCCCGCCGGCUGGCCAGGACAGACCUGGAUGCCCUCCACCCUCCAGCCAAACUUAUUUUUUUCAUAUCAUAGCUGCAGAAUAUUCAGACCUAAUAAUGAAACAAACAGAAAACCUGUGUUUCUAAGUUGGUGAGUCUGGAAAGCGGGGCCCGCCAAGGGGGCAGGAGGUCGGACACCUCGGGAACAGGCCUCUUUGUCUCUGUGCGGCUUCUCCCCUGGAGCAGCACCCACCUUCCUAGGCACGCUUGGUGUACAGUUGAUGUCUAGAAUAUAUUAACAGAAGGCUGCCCUGUAGAAGUUUUGAGUUAAUGGUUUCCA